rnacentral:rRNA from 1 species
GGGUCAGUAGGUUGGUCGUGCCACGGUACGUACUGGUCUCACUGAUUCCUCCUUCCUGAAGAACCGUAAUGCCAUUAAUUUGGUGUUGCGGGGAAACAGGACUGUUACUUUGAAAAAAUUAGAGUGUUUAAAGCAAGCUAACGCUUGAAUACAUUAGCAUGGAAUAAUGAAAUAGGACGAUCGAUCCUAUUUUGUUGGUUUCUAGGAUUGACGUA